CUGGACUGGAGGAGACAGAGAGAGGCUCAAACCUGGAUCCGGAGCCUCUGCUGCAUGAGAAGAGAGGAGGGAAAAAAAAAAACCCACCACCACCCUCACUCACACACAUACAUACACUCUGCCGCUGUAAUGUUAUUAGAGCUACACAGCGGAUCACUCUGGUCUCUUCUGCUCUCUCUCUUUUCUCUUCAGAAAUUAAAGCAGAGCUGCAUCUGAGAGUGGAAAAGGUCCCCCUUCUGGUAUUGAAAGUGAGGCACUAUCAGAAAUGGGAAUAUCAAAAAAAGAAAACCUAUGAUCAAGUUCCGCACAAAGGACUCUUAGAAAAGCCUGGUAACUACAGAAUGAGAAGUAGAAUCCUGUGAUGGGUUAAAAAAUGGUUAUAACAUUCUUGGAUGCUGUGGAACCUGGCUGCUGCAACACUGCAUGUAUGUGAUUUAUAAAAGGGUGUGCAUAAGUAUAAAGAAAUUCCACCUUCUACUGCAACAGAAGACUUAUCAGUGCCAGAUUCCUAAAACAGCAUCUUGCCACCACUGUACAUCUUACAGCACUGGAGCACCAGAUGGACAUUCCAGAAAUAAACACAUAUUUUGGUUCUGGAUAAAGUUCUUGGGAAAGGCCAAGGAAGAUAGAAUAUUGGAAAAGAGACAAUGGAGUUCGAGCCAUACAAUAAAUGUUACCAUGUGGAAUGUGAACCACCUGACUAAAUCAGAUGCCUCUAGAGAGGAAAAAAAGGAAACAGCAAAUACCUUUAUAUCCCUUGGAGCCAUCAAAGGAAGCCUGCAACGCAUGGCAUCAGAUCCUCUCAGGUUUAAUAUCUGAUGUGUUUGCAUCUCUGAUGUGGAGAAAGAUUUCUAAGAGGUCUAACAAUGGGUUAGAUCAUUCCUCUACCUGCGACAAACCUGCACAGGGAACAGGGAACCUCCUUGAGGAGUUUUCUCUGGACCAUUCAAUCAGAGAGGUCUCCCAGCAGUUCUUUCUCAUCCUUGGCAGCACAGCUCCAGUGGAGUUAUGGUGACAGGGCUUCCAGCACAGGGUGACCAGACAGCAAGUAUGAAAAAAUGGGACAGGGGGCUGGGGGUAAUAGGCACCUAUAUAAGACAAAACUCUAUAAAAUUGGGACAUAGUCACUCUAUUCCAACUGCUAGCCACUACCCCAAAACAUUGCCAUGUCAUGGAGGUGCUCCACACAAAGGUUAAUACAGCCAGUGGCUGAAUUUACUUCUGAGCAGCUUCCCAGACUGUAUCCAGAGGGGAAAACACAUUAGUUCUCCCAAGUCCAUGCAUGUUUUUCCUCCCCAAGCCACUCUCCAGAGCUAGAUCCCUGACCUUUCAGAGCAUGCCAGAGAUGGUAGGUGGGGGGAAUAUUGCCAGAGUCCUUUCCCCACACAAUAGAGUGUCCCCUCCACACACAGAUCAUGAGGGAAGAUGAUCUAGGCCAAUCUUACUAUUGCUAACUAUAGCUUUUCUGGUCUUGUAUGUUUUGAAGAAAAAACUAACUGUAACUUUAGAGAUAUCACAUGUGCCUAUUCUGUGGGAUUAUUUAUUUAUUUAUACAAUGGUGAUGAAGCUGAGAAACCUCACACCAGCACGAAAAGGUUAAAGAGAGUCUAUGGGCUCAGCUGGCCCUGCCCUGCUAUACCUGCAGCCAAUGCCAGGCCUGGGAGGAGAAGACAAGGAGAGAACCUGGCCCAGUUCAGGGCUGACUGGUGAAGAGGCAGAAGCAAGCUGCUUCUUUACAUGACGGGAGCAUCACUAGGAGCCUGACAGCCACCAGGGAAGAAGCACUGCAUCUCUGAUCAAGGAGCACUCAGCAGUCAGACUCAAAGUCUUGUUCUGAUCUCUCUGUUAGGACUUUAACAAGUCAGGACUCUUUAUGUAAGUAAGGAUUACUUACAUGAGUAAAAGUCUGCUGAAUCAGGCUCAGAUUCUCCGAGGAGAGGAUAUUUGUCAAAAUUAAAUGUUAAUGACACCUUUCAAACUCAAAUGACAGCCAACGACCAUCUUCUGUUAUAGCAGCUGUUUACCAUUUAUGUAAUGAACCAGCAGAGGUUAUCACAUGCGAGCAGCCAAAUCCUGGAGGAUCAGCCACUUAAAGAGCCAAGAAGCUGGAGGAUUCCAGGACAAAUGAGAAGAGUUGGGGGGACAUCAUCUUGGCAGGAUUAUGGGUAGGGGCCCUCAGUGGAAGGAAGAAGAACUGCGUUCAACACCUUGGAUGUGGGUGUGAAUGACCCCAGGAAAGGACUGUGAUGUGACUGUUAGAUUGGGGCUGCGCGUGAACACUUUGGAUUUAGGCUAAGAUGUGUCCCAAGAGGAAGUGACAGCUGAGGAGCCGCGCACCACCAGGCCGGAGAUCCAGACUGAGCAGCUACCAGAGAAGCAGUGCAGCUUACCAGCCUAGUGCGUCUCAGCUUUAUAUGCACCACUAAUGGGAUUAGAGGCCUUGGGUGGAGGUUGGUAAAGGUUUUGGGUAACUCAAAAGGGAAGGGAUUCUGCUAUUGUUUCACUGUUUCAUAAUUGCUGUGAGUCCCCAGCAGUACCCCAUCCUCUUCCAUCCCAUUGAUUGGUACCCAUUCCCUUAUCUAAUAUUCUUUCCUAUAAAUGGCCUCAGAACUCUUCUUUUUGGGUUUCUGUCACAAACAGGACAUGGGCAGUCUGAGCUAGUUUCAGAGGAGGAGUCAGGCCAGCUCAUGUACCAGGAGGUCAGAAUCUGAGACAGGCCAGAGGACAAACCAAGAGUCAGGUUACCAGGAGAUCAGAAUCAGGCAGUAGGAGCAGAUAGAGGGAGGGAGGCGUAGGCACUGGGGAACCCAGUUACAAGGACAACUUUCUGUUUCUGUGCUUGGUUUAAAUAGAAUCUGGGGUCCAAUCAGGAGUCCCAGUUUCUACCAGUCAGGGCCCAUGAUUGUAGUCCUCUGUCAGAGUUCAGUGUCUAUUCUAGCAACUGUUAGCAGGUCACUGGGUGGUAGAGUAGAACUACUUGGCUCUGAAAAGCCCUGUGGCUAAGGUUUCAAGACAUCCCCCGAAUCCCUGACAGUUUCUGUGUUAGGGGCUUCCAAACCUAUAUGAAGAAAAGGAGUCUAUGCCUGACCUGAAGAAAAAUAGGUGCAAGCUUGCUCCCUUAGGACAUGUUCCAUCAGAGGGGGUUGGGACACGUGCCUCUCCUACGAGAUUAAAUAAUGUCUAAAAGGAGACUCCCUUUGAGUUUCCCUCUCCAGAACAUGCUUGUUGGGAAGCAAUCAUUUAUUAUUUUUAAAAAGUGAGAAUUCCUAAUCGAUUUCACAAUAGAGCAAGGAUUACAAGAGAGUAUAGAGACAGUUUUAUAUAAGGGGUAGUAGCCUUAUGGAGCCAAAUCUCAAAGUUCUUACUUAAGCAAUGGGGAGUUUUAUUAGAAAGAAUUGAGAAAAGACCUCAAGUAUUGGCCCCCUAGCAAAGAGCCUCCUACAACAAGAGCAUUGUGUUACAUGCAGUGCCAAGGGCCCUUAGAGAGCUGUCUGAAACGGCAAUAGACACAAGGAUUUACGACAAGGAACAGCAAUUGCAAUAUCUAGUGCUAAACAUUUAAUCUAUGGUUACAGUUUUUACUUCGGAUCAGAGCUGAAGUCAGCAGAAUUAAAUCUUCAAGUGUAUUCCAGCAGCCCUAAAUCCUUCUGAUACUGUUAACAGUGGCAGACUUCCAAAAUGCAUUCCAUUAAUAA